rnacentral:lncRNA from 1 species
AUCUUGAGACAAGAUCUCGCUCUGUCUGUUUGGCUAGAAUGCAGUGGCAUAAUCCCAGCUCGCUGCAACCUCAAUCUCCAGGGCUCAAGCGACCCUCCCACCUUGGACUCCCAAAGAGUGCUAAGAUUACAGGCAUGAGCCACUAUGCCCAGCUGGCAUUUAUUUUCUUAAAGAAAAAAAAAAUCUAAAUACUUGGGGGAAAUGGGAGUUGAGCAAAAGACUGACACUAACAGCAGAAUGAAUCAUUUUUAUAUCUUCUUUACCUUCUUUACUGGGAAAGGUGGCUGGCUCAGCAGGGAAGGAGUGUAUGAGGAGACUGUGUAAAAUGUGUCUUGUCGCGUUGUUGCGUGUAUUGCGCGUGUACUUUGGGUGGCCCUGUGCUGCGUCAGCUGGAAGGGAUCCAGAGAAAAAGACAGAGCCCUCUUUGAAGACAUCCAGAGAGAGAUCUAGGAUGUUGGGAAGGAACAAAGAAAUUCAGGCAUCUCUCCUGAGAAGAGAAAGGGAGUAGAAUGCUCCAUCAUGAUGCUAACCACAAGAAUUGACUUGACGGGACAGAAUCAAGGGGAAGAACGUCAGUGAAACUUCUGGUGACAAUCACCCACUUAGGUCUUUAUUUUCCAUUUUUGCAUUUGUCAUACUUUUCAUAGUAAUGAAAACAAAUAUGUUGUGUAUAAUACUGGAUGUCAGCCUAUACAUUUGGUUUUUAAAUUUGGGGAAGGAAACUUCUUUCCACUCGAUUGAGCAGUUUCAUCUUUGCAAUGUAUUUAUUCUUUCUGAACUUUUGGGUAGUGUCCUCGUAUUAGUCUGUUUUCAUGCUGUUGAUAAAGACAUACCCAAGACUGGGUAAUUUAUACAGAAAAAGAGGUUUAAUGGGCUCACAGUUCCACAUGGCUGGGGAAGCCUCACAAUCAUGG